UAGUCAUAUGCUUGUCUCAGAGAUUAAGCCAUGCAUGUCUAAGUACAGACCUUUAUACGGUGAAACCGCGAAUGGCUCAUUAAAUCAGCUAUGGUUCCUUAGAUCGUCCACGCUACAUGGAUAACUGUAGUAAUUCUAGAGCUAAUACAUGCCACUAUGCCCUGACUCGCAAGAGAACGGGUGGAUUUAUUAGAACAGAACCAACGGGUUGUGGUUUCGGCUACAGCUGAUGAUUUCUGUGAUGACUCUGGAUAACUUUACUGAUCGCAGUCGGCCUCGUGUCGGCGACGGAUCUUUCAAAUGGCUGCCCUAUCAAUUGUCGAUGGUAGGUGACCUGCCUACCAUGGUAAUAACGGGUAACGGGGAAUCAGGGUUCGAUUCCGGAGAGGGAGCCUGAGAAACGGCUACCACAUCCAAGGAAGGCAGCAGGCACGCAAAUUACCCAAUCCCAGCACGGGGAGGUAGUGACGAAAAAUACGGAUACGGGACUCGUUUUGAGGCUCCGUAAUUCGAAUGAGUACAAUUUAAAUCCUUUAACGAGGAUCAACUGGAGGGCAAGUCUGGUGCCAGCAGCCGCGGUAACUCCAGCUCCAGAAGCGUAUAUUAAAGUUGUUGCAGUUAAAAAGCUCGUAGUUGGAUCUGGGUCGCAUGGCUACGUGCUGUGCCUGAGCUUGAUGUGGUUUCGACUGUGUUCGGCUUGGCUGGUAUAGUGGUCGUGCAGCCUUUCUGCCGUGUCUGUGUAACAGGUGCUGGUUGGUUAACUCCGGUUGGCCGAUUGGCAUGCUUCAAGAUGCCUUUAAACGGGUGUCGGGAGCGGACGGCACGUUUACUUUGAACAAAUUUGAGUGCUCAAAGCAGGCCGGUGCGCCUGAAAAUUCUUGCAUGGAAUAAUGGAAUAGGACUUCGGUUCUAUUUUGUUGGUUUUCGGAUCCGAAGUAAUGGUUAAGAGGGACAAACGGGGGCAUUUGUAUGGCGGCGUUAGAGGUGAAAUUCUUGGAUCGCCGCCAGACAAACUACAGCGAAAGCAUUUGCCAAGGAUGUUUUCAUUGAUCUGGAGCGAAAGUCAGAGGUUCGAAGACGAUCAGAUACCGUCCUAGUUCUGACCAUAAACGAUGCCAACUGACGAUCCGUGGCGUGCUAGUGUUGGCCCCACGGGCAGUCCCCGGGAAACCCUUAAGUCUUUGGGCUCCGGGGGAAGUAUGGUUGCAAAGCUGAAACUUAAAGGAAUUGACGGAAGGGCACCACCAGGAGUGGAGCCUGCGGCUUAAUUCGACUCAACACGGGAAAACUCACCCGGCCCGGACACUGUGGAGGAUUGACAGAUUGAUAGCUCUUUCUUGAUUCGGUGGUUGGUGGUGCAUGGCCGUUCUUAGUUGGUGGAGCGAUUUGUCUGGUUAAUUCCGAUAACGAACGAGACUUUGGCCUGCUAAUUAGUAUCUCUGUUUUCUGUGUUAGCAUGGUACGUGGUUCCGAUAUCCUCCAAGGGUUGAGGCACUUCCGACCGGCUGGUGCGGCGCAGGGUUUUACUUCUUAGAGGGACAAGCGGCGACACAGUCGCACGAAAUUGAGCAAUAACAGGUCUGUGAUGCCCUUAGAUGUCCGGGGCCGCACGUGCGCUACAAUGACGGUUUCAGUGAGUCUGGGAUCCUAGCCCGAGAGGGUUGGGUAAACUGGGCCAUAACCGUCGUGACUGGGAUCGGGGCUUGCAAUUGUUCCCCGUGAACGAGGAAUUCCUGGUAAGUGCAAGUCAUAAGCUUGCGCUGAUUACGUCCCUGCCCUUUGUACACACCGCCCGUCGCUACUACCGAUUGAAUGGUUUAGCAAGGUCCUCGGAUUGGUGCCAUUGUAGUGGUUUCGGCUGCUCGACCGGCGCUGAGAAGACGACCGAACUUGAUCAUUUAGAGGAAGUAAAAGUCGUAACAAGGUUUCCGU
rnacentral:rRNA from 1 species